AGUCGAACGAGAAAGCACCUUCGGGAGCGAGUACAGUGGCGGACGGGUGAGUAACGCUUAGGAAUCUACCUUUUUGUGGGGGACAACUCGGGGAAACUCGAGCUAAUACCGCAUACGACCUAAGGGUGAAAGUGGGGGAUCUUCGGACCUCACGCUAAAAGAGGAGCCUGCGUUGGAUUAGCUAGUUGGUGGGGUAAAGGCUCACCAAGGCUACGAUCUAUAGCUGGUCUGAGAGGACGAUCAGCCACACUGGAACUGAGACACGGUCCAGACUCCUACGGGAGGCAGCAGUAGGGAAUCUUGGUCAAUGGGCGCAAGCCUGAACCAGCGAUGCCGCGUGUGCGAAGAAGGCCCUAGGGUUGUAAAGCACUUUCAGUCGUGAAGAAAUGCUCAGAGUUAAUAGCUCUGAGUCUUGACGUUAACGACAGAAGAAGAUCCGGCUAACUCCGUGCCAGCAGCCGCGGUAAUACGGAGGGAUCGAACGUUAAUCGGAAUUACUGGGCGUAAAGCGCGCGUAGGCGGUUUGAUAAGUGGGAUGUGAAAACCCCGGGCUUAACCUGGGAACUGCAUUCCAAACUGUCAAACUAGAGUAUGGUAGAGGGUGGUAGAAUUUCCUGUGUAGCGGUGAAAUGCGUAGAUAUAGGAAGGAAUACCGAUGGCGAA
rnacentral:rRNA from 1 species